rnacentral:rRNA from 1 species
GAUGAACGCUGGCGGCAGGCUUAACACAUGCAAGUCGAGCGAGCGGCGGACGGGUGAGUAAUGUCUGGGAAACUGCCUGAUGGCGGGGGAUAACUACUGGAAACGGUAGCUAAUACCGCAUACCAUCAGAUGUGCCCAGAUGGGAUUAGCUAGUAGGUGGGGUAAUGGCUCACCUAGGCGACGAUCCAGAGCUGGUCUGAGAGGAUGACCAGCCACACUGGAACUGAGACACGGACCAGACUCCUACGGGAGGCAGCAGUGGGGAAUGUUGGACAAGGGGCGAAAGCCUGAUGCAGCCAUGCCGCGUGUGUGAAGAAGGCCUUCGGGUUGUAAAGCACUUUCAGCGAGGAGGCGGUACUUGCAGAAGAAGCACCGGCUAACUCCGUGCCAGCCGCCGCGGUAAUAC